AACGAACGCUGGCGGCAUGCCUAACACAUGCAAGUCGAACGAGACCUGCGGGUCUAGUGGCGCACUCGUGCGUAACGCGUGGGAACCUGCCCUUAGGUUCGGAAUAACUCCCCGAAAGGGGUGCUAAUACCGGAUAAUAUCUUCGGACCAAAGAUUGGGCGCCUUUGGAGGGGCCCGCGUUGGAUUAGCUGGUUGGUAGGGUAAAAGCCUACAAAGGGGACGAUCCAUAGAUGGUCUGAGAGGAUGAGCAGCCACACUGGUACUGAGACACGGCCCAGAAUCUUACGGGAGGCAGCAGUGGGGAAUAUUGGACAAUGGGCGAUAGCAUGAUCCAGCAAUGCCGGGUGAGUGAUGAAGGCCUUAGGGUUGUAAAGCUCUUUUACCCGGGAUGAUAAUGACAGUACCGGGAGAAUAAGCUCCGGCUAACUCCGUG
rnacentral:rRNA from 1 species